rnacentral:rRNA from 1 species
GAUGAACGCUGGCGGCGUGCCUAAUACAUGCAAGUCGAGCGAACGGACGAGAAGCUUGCUUCUCUGAUGUUAGCGGCGGACGGGUGAGUCACACGUGGAUAACCUACCUAUAAGACUGGGAUAACUUCGGGAAACCGGAGCUAAUACCGUAUGAUCUUUUGAACCGCAUGGUUCAAAGGUGAAAGACGGUCUUGCUGUCACUAAUAGCUGGAUCCCCGCUGCAUUAGCUAGUUGGUAAGGUAACGGCUUACCAAGGCAACGAUGCAUAGCCGACCUGAGAGGGUGAUCGGCCACACUGGAACUGAGACACGGACAAGACUCCUACGGGAGGCCGCAGUAGGGAAUCUUCCGCAAUGGGCGAAAGCCUGACGGAGCAACCCCGCGUGAGUGAUGAAGGUCUUCGGAUCGUAAAACUCUGUUAUUAGGGAAGAACAUAUGUGUAAUUAACUGUGCACAUCUUGACGGUACCUAAUCAGAAAGCCACGGCUAACUACGUG